AGGAAUCAGAAGAUGAGUAAGAUACCAAAGAAGAUCUUGAGGAAGAUUUAAAAGGCGAACCAGACAAAGCUGAUGAUGUGUCAGACCCUAAUUCCCACUAGUUCUAAAUAAUUUUUUUAUUUAUUUUGGAUUUAUAUUUUUAAGACCUAUUUUAUUUAUGGAUUAUUUUUAUUUUUUUAGUUUAGUUAGGAUUUUAGUAUUAUAUACAUAGUUUGU
rnacentral:lncRNA from 1 species